AACAGGUUUUGGUGUGUUCUAGCA
rnacentral:siRNA from 1 species